GCCGGAUUAGCUGAGAGGUGGUGCAUGGCCGUCGUCAGUUCGUACUGUGAAGCAUCCUGUUAAGUCAGGCAACGAGCGAGACCCACGCCCACAGUUGCCAGCGUACUCUCUGGAGUGACGGGUACACUGUGGGACCGCCGCUGCUAAAGCGGAGGAAGGAAUGGGCAACGGUAGGUCAGUAUGCCCCGAAUAUCCCGGGCUACACGCGAGCUACAAUGGUUGGUACAAUGGGUAUCUACCCCGAAAGGGGACGGGAAUCUCCUAAAACCAAUCUUAGUUCGGAUUGAGGGCUGCAACUCACCCUCAUGAAGCUGGAAUCCGUAGUAAUCGCGUUUCAACAGAACGCGGUGAAUACGUCCCUGCUCCUU
rnacentral:rRNA from 1 species